rfam:Gossypium raimondii chromosome 13, whole genome shotgun sequence.
AAUCACACGGUGGGGACACUUUCUUAAUAACUCUUUAAACUGCUCUCAUGCCACAUAUAAAUAUUCUUCAUCAAGUUGCUAAAAUAAAGUGAUUUCGUUGAGGAGCUU